rnacentral:rRNA from 1 species
AGAGUUUGAUCCUGGCUCAGGAUGAACGCUAGCGGCAGGCCUAACACAUGCAAGUCGAGGGGUAACGAUUAAGAAGCUUGCUUCUUAAGGCGACGACCGGCGCACGGGUGAGUAACGCGUAUGCAACCUACCCUUUACUGGGGGAUAGCCCGAAGAAAUUCGGAUUAAUACCCCAUAACAUUAUACUAUUGCAUAAUAGCAUAAUUAAAACUCCGGUGGUAAAGGAUGGGCAUGCGUGACAUUAGUUUGUUGGUGAGGUAACGGCUCACCAAGUCUACGAUGUCUAGGGGUCCUGAGAGGGUGAUCCCCCACACUGGUACUGAGACACGGACCAGACUCCUACGGGAGGCAGCAGUGAGGAAUAUUGCGCAAUGGACGAAAGUCUGACGCAGCCAUGCCGCGUGCAGGAUGACUGCCCUAUGGGUUGUAAACUGCUUUUAUACGGGAAUAACCCCCGAUACGUGUAUUGGGUUGAAUGUACCGUAAGAAUAAGCAUCGGCUAACUCCGUGCCAGCAGCCGCGGUAAUACGGAGGAUGCAAGCGUUAUCCGGAUUUAUUGGGUUUAAAGGGUGCGUAGGCUGUUUAGUCAGUCAGUGGUGAAAGUCUGCAGCUUAACUGUAGAAUUGCCAUUGAUACUGCUAGACUUGAGUGCGGUUGAGGUAGGCGGAAUGUGUAAUGUAGCGGUGAAAUGCUUAGAUAUUACACAGAACACCAAUUGCGUAGGCAGCUUACUAAGCCGUAACUGACGCUGAGGCACGAAAGCGUGGGGAGCGAACAGGAUUAGAUACCCUGGUAGUCCACGCCGUAAACUAUGAUCACUCGCUGUUGGCAAUACAUCGUCAGCGGCCAAGCGAAAGCAUUAAGCGAUCCCCCUGGGGAGUACGUCGGCAACGAUGAAACUCAAAGGAAUUGACGGGGGCCCGCACAAGCGGUGGAACAUGUGGUUUAAUUCGAUGAUACGCGAGAACCUUACCUGGGCUUAAAUGCAGAAUGCCUUUACCCGAAAGGGUAUUUUCCUUCGGGACGUUUUGCAAGGUGCUGCAUGGUUGUCGUCAGCUCGUGCCGUGAGGUGUCGGGUUAAGUCCCAUAACGAGCGCAACCCCUAUCGUUAGUUGCUAGCAGGUCAAGCUGAGGACUCUAACGAAACUGCCGGUGUAAACCGUGAGGAAGGUGGGGAUGACGUCAAAUCAGCACGGCCCUUAUGUCCAGGGCUACACACGUGUUACAAUGGUCGGUACUAAGGGCAGCUACCAGGCAACUGGAUGCUAAUCUCUAAAACCGGUCUCAGUUCGGAUUGAAGUCUGCAACUCGACUUCAUGAAGCUGGAAUCGCUAGUAAUCGCGCAUCAGCCAUGGCGCGGUGAAUACGUUCCCGGGCCUUGUACACACCGCCCGUCAAGCCAUGGAAGCCGGGGGUACCUGAAGUCUGUAACCGCAAGGAGCGGCCUAGGGUAAAACUGGUAACUGGGGCUAAGUCGAAACAAGGUA